GACGAACGCUGGCGGCGUGCUUAACACAUGCAAGUCGAACGGACAGGCCCUGCUUUUGUUGGUUUCUCGAUUGGCGAACGCGUGAGUAACACGUGAGUAUCCUGCCCUUGUCUUUGGGAUAACUUCAGGAAACUGGGGCUCAUACCGCAUAUGAUCUCCUGCUGCAUGUUGGUGGUUGGAAAGUUUCGGCGGUUGGGGAUGGACUCGCGGCUUAUCAGCUUGUUGGUGGGGUAGUGACUUACCAAGGCUUUGACGGCUAGCCGGCCUGAGAGGGUUACCGGCGACAUGGGGACUGAGAUACGGAGCAGACGCCAACGGGAGGCAGCAGUGGGGAAUAUUGCACAAUGGGCGGAAGCCUGAGGCAGAAACGCCGCGUGCGGGAUGACGGCCUACGGGGUGUAAACAGAUGUCGACGGAGACGAAGAGUGAGUGACGGUAAUGGGUAAAGAAGCAACGGCUAACUACGUG
rnacentral:rRNA from 1 species